rnacentral:rRNA from 1 species
UUGACCUCAAAUCAGGUAGGACUACCCGCUGAACUUAAGCAUAUCAAUAAGCGGAGGAAAAGAAACUAACAAGGAUUCCCCUAGUAACUGCGAGUGAAGCGGGAAAAGCUCAAAUUUAAAAUCUGGUAGUCUUCGGCUGCCCGAGUUGUAAUCUAGAGAAGCAUUAUCUGCGCUGGACCGUGUACAAGUGUCCUGGAAUGGACCAUCAUAGAGGGUGAGAAUCCCGUCUUUGACACGGACUCCCAGGGCUUUGUGAUGUGCUCUCAAAGAGUCGAGUUGUUUGGGAAUGCAGCUCUAAAUGGGUGGUAAAUUCCAUCUAAAGCUAAAUAUUGGCGAGAGACCGAUAGCGAACAAGUACCGUGAGGGAAAGAUGAAAAGAACUUUGGAAAGAGAGUUAAACAGUACGUGAAAUUGCUGAAAGGGAAACGCUUGAAGUCAGUCGCGUUGGCUGGGGAUCAACCUUGCUUUUUGCUUGGCUUACUUCCCAGUUGACGGGUCAGCAUCAGUUUUGACCGGUGGAUAAAGGCUAGGGGAAUGUGGCACCCUCGGGUGUG